GCACGAAAAUUAGCCGGGGCUUCUUCUCCGCUUACCGUCAUUAUCUUCAGCGGUGAAAGGACUUUACAACCCUAGGGCCUUCUUCAUCCACGCGGCAUGGCUGGAUCAGGCUUGCGCCCAUUGUGCAAUAUUCCCCA
rnacentral:rRNA from 1 species